rnacentral:rRNA from 1 species
AUCGAACGCUGGCGGCAGGCUUAACACAUGCAAGUCGAGCGAGCGGCGGACGGGUGAGUAAUGUCUGGGAAACUGCCUGAUGGAGGGGGAUAACUACUGGAAACGGUAGCUAAUACCGCAUACCAUCAGAUGUGCCCAGAUGGGAUUAGCUAGUAGGUGGGGUAAUGGCUCACCUAGGCGACGAUCCCUAGCUGGUCUGAGAGGAUGACCAGCCACACUGGAACUGAGACACGGCCCAGACUCCUACGGGAGGAAGCAGUGGGGAAUGUUGCACAAUGGGGGAAAGCCUGAUGCAGCCAUGCCGCGUGUGUGAAGAAGGCCUUCGGGUUGUAAAGCACUUUCGGCGGGGAGGCGGUACUCGCAGAAGAAGCACCGGCUAACUCCGUGCCAGCAGCCGCGGUAAUUC